rnacentral:rRNA from 1 species
UACGGAGGGUGCGAGCGUUGUCCGGAAUCAUUGGGCGUAAAGGGCGCGUAGGUGGCCCGGUCAGUUCGUGGUGAAAGCGCGGGGCUCAACCCUGCGUCGGCCAUGAAUACUGCCGCGGCUGGAGCACUGUAGAGGCAGGUGGAAUUCCCGGUGUAGCGGUGGAAUGCGUAGAGAUCGGGAAGAACAUCGGUGGCGAAGGCGGCCUGCUGGGCUCUUGCUGACACUGAGGCGCGACAGCGUGGGGAGCAAACAGG